rnacentral:RNase_P_RNA from 1 species
CCAGAUGACCGGAUGGCCGCUCUUCUUCUUCGGAAGGAGGGAGGAAAGUCCGGGCUCCAUGGAAGAACGGCGCCGGUUAACGGCCGGCGGGCGCGAGCCUAGGGAAAGUGCCACAGAAAACAAACCGCCGGCCACACGGGUUCGCCCCGUUCGUCGGUAAGGGUGAAACGGUGCGGUAAGAGCGCACCGCGCGGCCGGCAACGGACGCGGCACGGUAAACCCCGCCGGGAGCAAGACUGCAUAGGAGGAUGGGUCCGGAGCAAUCCGGGCCGGGCGGCUUCCGCGCCAGAUCCUCGGGUAGGUCGCGUGAGGCGGUCGGCAACGAUCGUCCCAGAGGAAUGGCCAUCCAGGGGCCGCAAGGCCCCGGACAGAACCCGGCUUACAGGUCAUCUGGCAUU